CUGCGAAGCUGAGCAAAACCUCAAAAACGGUACUCAGUUCGGAUUGCAGGCUGCAACUCGCCUGCAUGAAGUUGGAAUUGCUAGUAAUCGUGGAUCAGCAUGCCGCGGUGAAUACGUUCCCGGGUCUUGUACACACCGCCCGUCACACCAUGGGAGUUUGUAACACCCGAAGUCAGUAGUCUAACCGUAAGGAGGACGCUGCCGAAGGUGGGAUAAGCGACUGGGGUGAAGUCGUAACAAGGUAUC
rnacentral:rRNA from 1 species